rnacentral:rRNA from 1 species
GACGAACGCUGGCGGCGUGCCUAAUACAUGCAAGUAGAACGCACAGUUUAUACCGUAGCUUGCUACACCAUAGACGGUGAGGUGCGAACGGGGGAGGAACGCGUAGGUAACCUGCCUGGUAGCGGGGGGUAACUAGGGGAAACGAUAGCUAAUACCGCAUAAUAUUAAUUAUUGCAUGAUAAUUAAUGGAAAGGUGCAAUGGCACCACUACCAGAUGGACCUGCGGUGGAUUAGCUAGUAGGUGAGGUAACGGCGCACCUAGGCGACGAGACAUAGCCGACCGGCGUGGGUGAUUGGCCGCCCUGGGACGGUGACCCGGCCCAGACUCCUUCGGGUGGCAGCCGUAGGGCAUCUUGGGCCAUGGACGAGAGUCUGACCGCGCUACGCCGCGUGCGUGAAGAAGGUCUUCGGAUCGUAAAGCUCGGUUGUCAGGGAAGAACGCGCGUGAGCGUGGAACGUUCCCACUGUGACGGUAUCUUACCAGAAAGCGCCGGCUAACUACGUG